GACGAACGCUGGCGGCGUGCUUAACACAUGCAAGUCGAACGCUGAAGCCCUUUCGGGGGUGGAUGAGUGGCGAACGGGUGAGUAACACGUGGGUAAUCUGCCCUGUACUUCGGGAUAAGCCUUGGAAACGGGGUCUAAUACCGGAUAGGACCUGUCCUCGCAUGGGGGUGGGUGGAAAGUUCCGGCGGUAUGGGAUGAGCCCGCGGCCUAUCAGCUUGUUGGUGGGGUAGUGGCCUACCAAGGCGACGACGGGUAGCCGGCCUGCGGGGGUGACCGGGAACACGGGGACUGGGACGCGGCCCAGACUCGUACGGGGGGCAGGAGUGGGGAAUCUGGCGUAAGGGGCGAAAGCCUGACGCAGCAAGGCCGCGUGGGGGAUGACGGCCGUCGGGUGGUAAACCCCUUUCGACAUCGACGAAGGCGCCCUGUUGUGGGGUUUUGACGGUAGGUGUAGAAGAAGCACCGGCUAACUACGUGCCAGCCGCCGCCGUAA
rnacentral:rRNA from 1 species